rnacentral:ncRNA from 1 species
GGUAAACCAGUGAGGAAGAGAAGUACCCGGCGUUUCCGAUGCAAAGAGAGUCCCGGAGGGUGGAAUCGGGAUCAGAGGAGACCGGCGAAUGGCCUUCCGAGGGCGGCUUGAACGGGCAACCUAGUAGAUGCCGACGGGACCCCACCCGUUAUCCAUCGGGCACGCAUGAUGGUGCGUGAAGCGAGUGGACGUCAUUGACGUCAAUUUGGGUGGUAUCGCAGAAGUGUUGAAACGCUUUUGUCCCAGCA